CGGCGCCUGCCUAGUGUACUGCAAAAACGGCCGCAGCCGCUCGGCCGCCGUCUGUACCGCCUACCUUAUGAGGCACCGAGGCCUCAGCCUGGCGCAGGCUUUCCAGAUGGUGAAGAGCGCUCGCCCGGUAGCGGAACCCAACCCGGGCUUCUGGUCUCAGCUCCAGAAGUAUGAGGAGGCCCUGCAGGCACAGUCCUGCCUGCAGGGAGAGCCCCCAGCCUUAGGGUUGGGCCCUGAGGCUUGAAGCCUGAAGCUUGAAGGCCUACUGCCUGGAGGAAGGAUGUUCCUGCACUGAUACUGGAGCUGUUUCUGGCAAAGCCUGCCAUGUCUUACAUUUGUCUCUUUCCAGAUUAGAUGUUGCUAUAUAAACACAUCGACUGAGGCUCACUGGAACACAUCAAGACUGUCUGCAGGAAGGAGCUCCCCGUUCGAGGCCUUCACAGUGUCACCACAUUCACCUCUUUCCACUAAAUCAUGUGCCGUGAAUCCUGUC